rnacentral:tRNA from 1 species
GGUGGAGUGGUGUAGAGGUUAGCACACUCGACCGGACAUUGGGAAGCCCAGAGUUCAAAUCCUGGCUCCGCCG